GAGGGAAUAGCUCAGUGGCAGAGUGCAUGCUUAGCAUGCACAAGGUCCUGGGUUCAAUUCCCAGUCCCUCCA
rnacentral:tRNA from 1 species